rnacentral:tRNA from 1 species
GUAGCUCAACGGCAGAGCAUCCGACUGUUAAUCGGACGGUUACUGGUUCGAAUCCAGUC